CCUACGGGAGACAGCAGUAGGGAAUAUUGCUCAAUGGGGGAAACCCUGAAGCAGCAACGCCGCGUGGAGGAUGAAGGUUUUCGGAUUGGAAACUCCUUUUGUUAGAGAAGAUAAUGACGGUAUCUAACGAAUAAGCAAUGGCUAACUCCGUGCCAGCAGCCGAGGUAAUACGGAGGGUGCCAGCGUUACUCGGAAUCACUGGGCGUAAAGGGCGCGUAGGCGGGAUAGCAAGUCAGAUGUGAAAUUCUUUGGCCUAACCAUAGAACUGCAUUUGAAACUGUUAUUCUUGAGUAUGGGAGGGGUAGGUGGAAUUCUUGGUGUAGGGGUAAAAUCCGUAGAGAUCAAGAGGAAUACUCAUUGCGAAGGCGACCUGCUAGAACAUAACUGACGCUGAUGCGCGAAAGCGUGGGGAGCAAACAGGAUUAGAUACCCCAGUAGUC
rnacentral:rRNA from 1 species